AUUGAACGCUGGCGGCAGGCCUAACACAUGCAAGUCGAACGGUAACAGGAAGCAGCUUGCUGCUUCGCUGACGAGUGGCGGACGGGUGAGUAAUGUCUGGGAAACUGCCUGAUGGAGGGGGAUAACUACUGGAAACGGUAGCUAAUACCGCAUAACGUCGCAAGACCAAAGAGGGGGACCUUAGGGCCUCUUGCCAUCGGAUGUGCCCAGAUGGGAUUAGCUAGUAGGUGGGGUAACGGCUCACCUAGGCGACGAUCCCUAGCUGGUCUGAGAGGAUGACCAGCCACACUGGAACUGAGACACGGUCCAGACGCCUACGGGAGGCAGCAGUGGGGAAUAUUGCACAAUGGCGCAAGCCUGAUGCAGCCAUGCCGCGUGUAUGAAGAAGGCCUUCGGGUUGUAAAGUACUUUCAGCGGGGAGGAAGGGAGUAAAGUUAAUACCUUUGCUCAUUGACGUUACCCGCAGAAGAAGCACCGGCUAACUCCGUG
rnacentral:rRNA from 1 species